CCCUGGUGCUGGGACAAGUUUCCCAGCCCUCAUAGUCAUGGGUGUGGCCCAUUUGUGGGAGUCAGCUUCCUGUCCACCUCCCGAUGAAGGCCGCCCAGCAGGUCUGGCUUCCCAGAAGUUAACUGAUAACAUGGGGUUUGUCAUGUCCUAGAGAGCAGAAGGGAGCUGGGAGGGGGUGGGGGCCAGGGGGCAAGGAAAAUUGCUACCUGAUUUAUUGAAGACUUCUCUUGCCUUACACUUGGAGGUUCUAGAAAACCUCUUGCAGAACUUCACACAUGACUCUUCAAGCCACACCCACCUGAAAUCAAACCAAAGGAGUGCUGUGGCUCCCCUUGCCCUGACACCCCUUACCCUAGUCUUUUGUAGAUUGCACUAAUUUACAUCCCAGUGAGAAUCAACACUGUAUCAGACCACAGACCUGCUGAGCUGCAGCCACUCACUCUAGGAGCUAAGGACCUGCAUUUUCAGUUUGUUCCUGUUGCCCAGGGGCCCUAUUCUCACCUCAUGCUGCUCCCCAGAGUAGAUUAGGAGGCUCAGCCCCCUGCUGCCCUUACCAGGACUAGGCCCUUAGCCCUGGGGCACUCUGUAGGGGGACUGGAGCAGCCUAGUUCUUUUCCUAUUUGUACCAAAGAGGUCCCUCCCCCCUUGGGAAGGGUAGCAUGGGCUAAGGAGGUGGCACUGGGUGAGGACCACUGGGCUAAGACCCAUGGGCUAAGGAGGUGGCACUGGGUGAGGAUCACUGGGCAGGAGCUGGAGAGGGAGGUGGAAGAGAAUCCCGGGGGCACUCCCAGCCAGCCCCCAGUCCUGUGCUGCCCCUGAGCAGACGGCUGUUCCUGAUUGGUCACUGGCCUUGGGCGAGGCCUGGACCUUUCAGAGGUGAACUUACAUAUGGGAACCAGUCCCAAACCCUAAGGGAAGGGACUUGGGUCCCCUUGUAUUGAAUAAGCUGUUUGGAGGAAGGCAUCAAUCCAGGAGGGUGGGGCAGUAAGAGAGGUUGGCAGAG
rnacentral:lncRNA from 1 species